rnacentral:rRNA from 1 species
GGGCCCGCACAAGCGGUGGAGCAUGUGGUUUAAUUCGAUGCAACGCGAAGAACCUUACCAAGGCUUGACAUAUAGAGGAAAAGUGCAGAAAUGCACUCCCCGCAAGGUCUCUAUACAGGUGGUGCAUGGUUGUCGUCAGCUCGUGUCGUGAGAUGUUGGGUUAAGUCCCGCAACGAGCGCAACCCUCGUCCUAUGUUGCCAGCACGUAAUGGUGGGAACUCAUGGGAUACUGCCGGGGUCAACUCGGAGGAAGGUGGGGAUGACGUCAAAUCAUCAUGCCCCUUAUGUCUUGGGCUUCACGCAUGCUACAAUGGCCGGUACAGAGGGCUGCAAUACCGCAAGGUGGAGCGAAUCCCAAAAAGCCGGUCUCAGUUCGGAUUGAGGUCUGCAACUCGCCUACGUGAAGGCGGAAUC